rnacentral:lncRNA from 1 species
AUGAGAGCUCAUUCUGCUGUAGAGAGUUACAUACUGAUCAAAAACUCAACCAAGCCAACAAAGAACAAGACUUCAAAUGAAACAUGGCAAAGAAGAAAGGUCUGUACUAUUGCAAUAAACACCCUGAAAUCCCACCCUGUUCAUCCACUGAGAAACUUGCUCCUUCCAAGACUCUACCUACCUCUUAAUUAUACUACUUGGCAAUACAUACAAAGAGAUCAGCAGGAAACACAUAAGGCUCAGCAUGUUCCUAGGACACUCCCUCCAGUACAGAGUUGGGGCUUAGCCUCCCUUUCCAUAUAA